rnacentral:rRNA from 1 species
GACGAACGCUGGCGGCGUGCUUAACACAUGCAAGUCGAACGGAAAGGCCCUGCUUUUGUGGGGUGCUCGAGUGGCGAACGGGUGAGUAACACGUGAGUAACCUGCCCUUGACUUUGGGAUAACUUCAGGAAACUGGGGCUAAUACCGGAUAGGAGCUCCUGCUGCAUGGGGGGGGUGGGAAAGUUUCGGCGGUUGGGGAUGGACUCGCGGCUUAUCAGCUUGUUGGUGGGGUAGUGGCUUACCAAGGCUUUGACGGGUAGCCGGCCUGAGAGGGUGACCGGCCACAUUGGGACUGAGAUGCGGCCCAGACUCCUACGGGAGGCAGCGGUGGGGAAUAUUGCACAAUGGGCGGAAGCCUGAUGCAGCAACGCCGCGUGCGGGAUGACGGCCUUCGGGUUGUAAACCGCUUUCGCCUGUGACGAAGCGUGAGUGACGGUAAUGGGUAAAGAAGCACCGGCUAACUACGUG